GUAGCUCAGUGGUAGAGUAUUUGUCUAAUAUACACAAGGCCAUGGGUUCAAUCUCCAUC
rnacentral:tRNA from 1 species